UAAGAGAAUAAAUUUGUGUUAAGUCACUAAAUUUGUGAUGAAUGAAUAAAGAAGAUGUGGUUUAUAUCUACAAUGGAAUUCUUCUUCGCCAUAAAAAAAAGAAUAGGAUAAUGUUAUUUGCAGCAACAUGGAUGGACUUGGAGGGUAUUAUGCUAAGUGAAAUAAGACAGAGAAAGACAAAUACUGUAUGAUAUCACUGGUAUAUAAAAUCUGAAAAAUACAACAAAUUAUUGAAUAUAAUAGAAAGAAGCAAACUCAUAGAUACAGAGAACAAACUAAUUGUUACCAAUGGGGAGAAGGAAGAGGGAAGGCGCUAUGGAGAAUAAGGGCGCAAGAGGUACAAACCAUUAUAUGUAAAAUAAGCUACAAGGAUGUUUUUUACAACAGGAGGAAUAGAGCCAAUAUUUUAUAGUAACUAUAAAUGGAGUAUACAGUUUAAAAAUCAUCAAUCACUGUUGUGUAAACUGUAACAUAAUUUUGUAUAUCAAUUAUAUGUACUUCAACAACAACAACAACAACAAAUCAACGAAAGCUGGCUUUGGCCAUAGGGCCAUAUCUCAGGGGUUGAUAAAGAUUAUCUUCCUAUUCACCUUCUUGGUUUAUUACUCCUUUAAAUUUCUGGGGCAGAGGACAUUGUAUCCAAUUAAUGACUUAAAUGUAUAAGGUAUGUUUAAGUGCACUAAUUGGAUUUGUAAUAUAAAGUACUUAUAAAAGGCUUGCUGCAUGGUUAACAGCUAUUAAUUUUUUAUGAUUGUUAUUUUGCAUCUUCCUAAUUUGUGAGGCUUAUUAUCUCUCUGUAUAUUGACCAACUAUUCGAGAUUACUUUUCCGUGAAUAAUGUAGACUCCUAAGAGAAAUAUUAGAACGAUUCUUUUUUAUAAUCAUGUUGUCCUUUAAUUCAAUUUUAUUCUCACUUUGCUAAGAUUAUUUUUUAUCGUGAAUGAGUGUCGGCUAUUAACAAGUGCUUUUUAGCACCUAUUAAGAUGAUUGUAAUUUGUCUCCAUAAAAUCUAUUAAGGUAUUUAAGUGCAUUUUUAUAUUCUUAAAAAUUAUGUCAUAUUUACAUUCUCAGAAUAAACCCCAGUUGAUUGCAAUGUUUCGGUACACCGCUUAAUAUAAUUAGCUCAUGAUUUACCUAGGAUUUUGUGUCAGUAUUCUCAAAUAAGAUUUGGCUUUAAUUUUCCUUUAUAAAACUGUAUUUGCCUAGAUUUAGUAUGAACAUUAUACCACCCUCUUUGAAUCCAUUAUAAAUUUGAAUGUAUUUUUUCCUUUUCUAUGCCUUAGUAAAGGCUUUGUAAAAUGAACGUUUUAUCUAUUACAUAGGGAUUUGAAAAAUUUGUUUUCAAACUUUAUGGAUGUAGUAUGUAUGUAUGUCACAUAUUUAUGGAUAGCUAUAAGUGUGGAUAGAUAAACAGAGAUAUAGACAUGAUAGCUAGCUAGCUAGAUUAACUUACUGCAAUAGUGAUUAGCAAACUGCAGCCUGCCAGACAAAUCUGACCCAUGAUCUCUUUUUAUAAAUAAUGCUUAAUUGGCAUACAGCCACGCUUAUUCGUUUAUAAGUAGUCUGUGACUGUUUUCACCCUACAGUGACAGUACUGAGUAAAGGGAACAGAGUCUGUAGGCCCAAAAUGCACCCGCCUCCCAUUCCCGACUGCCACAUUUAAUACCUGUCCUUUUACAGACAAUUUCUUUACUCCUGGAUUAUAGGAUCCGUCUAUUUCAAUAUUAUUCAUUUACUCAAGAUUUUUAUUUAAUAAUGAGUGAAUUUAACAGUGUAUUUUUUUGGACAAUUUUUUCGUUACAUCUAACUUUUCAUUAAGUAUUUCAUGAAUGUCUUCUAAGUAACAGAUGCUUUUCUAGACAGUACAGUUUUAACAAUGGACAAAACAAGAACACAACCUUGCCCUUGUGGACUUGAUAGUCUAGAGGGGCGUGGAGACAAUUAAAAUAUACUAAUAAAUAUAUACAGGCGCUUCAGGUAAUGAUCAAUGCUCAGAAGGAUACAUUGGAAGAUGAUAUUUUCAAUAAUGUGCAGGAACGGUCUGUUUGAGGAAGUUAACAAUUUGAACAAACACGUUAAAUAAAAGGCGGCAUGCAUCUUUGACUGUCUUGAGGAGUAACAAUACAAGGAGAGGAAACUUCCAAUGCAGAGGUCUUGAUGUGGAAACAUACUUGUAUUUAUUAUAUGGCAAGAACAGCAAGGAAAUUCAGUUAGCUGGAACAGAAUCACCAAGAGGUAGAAUGUUAGAAGAGGGAGUCAGGGGUGAUCGAGGGGUCAAGGUCAGGAUUCAUAUUUGUCCGUGUGUAAUGGGAUGCCAUUGGUAAGUUUUGAGCGGAUUUAUGACAUGAUAUGACACUCAUUUUUAAGUGAACCCCAUUGACUAUGUGGGGUGAACAUACCUUUGAGGGAAGCCAGCCUAGCCCAGAGACCAGUUAGGAGGUUAUUGUAAUUGUCCAAAUGAGAGGAGACGGGGGUUCGACUAGGGUACUAGAAAGAAUUACACGAAUAUAUCUCAAAAGUGACAUUCAUUGAUAGAACAGUUGUGAAUUGUGAACCAGAGAGGGAUCAAGGUUCUGACAACAUUUUUGUCCUGAAAAACUGGGUGAUAUUAAUGAUAUAUUACAAUAGGGAAUGGUAAACGUGAAGCAAAUUUAAGAUUAGGGUGAGGGAUUAUGAAUUUUGUUCAAACAUGUUAAGUUUAUGAUGCAUAUUUAAUAUCCAAAUGAAGACAUAGGACAGAUCAUAAACUAGAAAAUCUGGAGUCCAGGGAAGUACUCCGGGCUGGAGAUAGAACUUGAAAUGCAUCAGGUUAUACAUUAUACUGAGAGUCCACACACUGGUUAGGAUCAUUUGUGCAGUGUAGCUGGAUAAGAGAAGCAGCCCAAGCUUGACUUCUGGAAGGGGAGAAGGAGCCAUAAACAUACUGUGAAGGAGUGAGAGAAAAGGAGAAGUAGAAAUGUGUCUUGUGGAAGCAAAGGAAAGAAAUACCUUCAAAGGGGGAAAAAAAAGGGUUGACUCUUUCAAAUACUGUUGAGAUGUCUAGAUGAGACCUGAACAUCAGCAUUGGGUUUGGCAGCUUGGAAGUCAUUGUUAUCUAUGAUGGCAAAAGUUUGUGACACGAAGCGGACCAGAUACUGUUGGAGUAGGCUCAAGAAGAAUGCUAGGUGAAGAAACGUAGCAGUGCACUUCCCUUGAAUUUUAAAAUCUCAGUUGUAUCUGCACAUAAUUCCUCUGAUUUUUUUUUUUUGUCUUUUGUCUUUUUUAGGGCCACACCCUCAGCAUAUGGACAUUCCCAGGCUAGGGCUCGAAUCAGAGCUGUAGCUGCUGGCCUAUACCAUAGCCACAAUGCUGGAUUUGAGCCGCAUCUGUGACCUACACCAUUGCUUAUGGCAAUGCCAGAUUGUAAACCCACUGAGCAAGGCCAGGAAUUGAAUCCGAGUCCUCAUAGAUACUGGUCGGGUUCAUUAACCACUGAGCCAUGAUAGAACCCCUUCUCUGAUUUUUAAAAGUAAGUUUAUUUCAGUAUUUUUUUUUUUUAUCUGUCUUCUUUAGGUUAUCUCCUUUGUAUUUUCUAAGAAUCAGUGUCCGUUUGGGUGUAUCUCAUUAAUGGCAUAUUUAUGUAUGACAGUGUAUGCUCUCUUCUUUUGUAUGUUUUUCACUCAGCAGACAUUCUGGGCAUGGGAGCAGAGGUUUGAGAAGUUCUUAAGUGCUGUAACAAUAGACUUCAGGAGGUUGACUCUCUGUGCACAUCUAUAACAUAUCCACUAUACAUAUCCAUUAGUAAAGCUGGAUCUUGUACUGGCCUCGAUUUUGAUAUUUUGACCCUUUUCUUGAAAUAAGUGAUAAAAUUGCAACUUUGUGAUAAUUAAUUUUAUCAUUUAUCCAAAUAUAGACCAAAAUAUAUCAUGUCUCUCAUCUUUAAUUAUUUAACACAAGUUCUUCUCUUGGAGAACUAGGGUUUAUUGUUGUUGUGUUUAUGAUAUAGGAGUUAAUUUCCAUGUGAUCAAAAUAUUUCACAAUAUUUCAUAUUUAUACUUGUGAUAAAAUUUCUUAGUGAUUAAAAUAUAUCAUAUAAAAUAUUUCAAGUGUAAUAAAGUAAUAUUGACUUAACCAUCUUAUAUAUGAUUAUUGAAGAUGUUCUUCUUAACUAACACAUCUUUUGAUUUAAGUUAAAAAACUAAAACAAAAAGAGUUCUGAUUCUGCACUUGCAGAAUUAACUGCUGUAGAAACUGCAGUCUCACCAAAACCAAACCAAACAAAACACUGUAACAUCACACUACCUAUAUGCAAUGUCUUUUUCCUGACAUCAGACAACUGGCAGUCAGGGUUUGAUUCCUGAAAAGAACAGAAACAAACAUGAUGAGGCAUAUGGUUAUAAAGAUUUUUUUCCUGGAGUCAUUUCCAGGCUGCAGGUGUGGGGUCCCAGAUGAAGCUUAGUUGUCUGAGGAGACAGGAAUAGGAAUCUGGGGAGACCGAGAAACAGCUAGCAUUUGCUGAGCAGAAUAAUGGAGAGAAAGGAACUGCAUCGAGCAAGCUCAAGAGAUUUUUGGAUGGACUCCCUUGGGGUGACUUUUUUUUUUCCCCUGAAAACAGUGGUAGAGCUGAAUUGCUGAGCAAUUUGUUUAGCAUCCUACAGAACCCUUG
rnacentral:lncRNA from 1 species